CCAGAUGAAUUAAUGUCCCCUUCAAGAACUCUUCUGGAUAAUUUUUUGUGCCAAAAAAAAGAGAAAAAAGAACAGGAGAGAGGAGGAAGGAAGAUGAAAGGAAUAACGGCAUUUUAUGAUUUAUUGGGAUUUGAGAAUCAUUGUUUCAUUUUACAUAUUGCUGGAGGAAGGAAAAAACAAAACCCAGCACUGGUACUAUCCUUGCUAGCUUCUCUUUAAGUAUUUUUGUUUAGUAUCCACUAUACUAUUGGUUAUUGUUCCGUCUUAUGAGACAAGAUUAACUGAGGUUACUAAUGUCAAGAGCGAAAAUAUCUAAUCUUUCUCUGGCUGAGUGGACAUUUGCUUAUUGCCUACCCAGCAUCCACUGCUCUUUCUGUCUUCAGAGAGCACCUAGAUCUUCUAUGGGGGAAACUAGCCGAUACUCUUUGAGCGGGAUUUACCUCAUCCGUGCCUGCAGGUGUGGCCUUACUGUGAUGACAGUCAGUGUAACCCCAUCCGUUUGCCAUGCUGACCAGUUUAGGGAGAGUGAUAUAUAUGUUUAUUGCUGUAUACUAAUUUUGUAGCUGAGAACUUAUUUUAUUGUAUUUCUUUACUGUUUAUAAGAUUUUCUCAGGUUUUCCGAGUAUACAAUAAUAUCAUCUAUAAAUUAUGAGAUUGUACAUUUUAUCUUUUUUUUAAAAGAUCUUAUUUAUUUAUUUGACAGAGAGAGAGAGAACAAGCAGGGGGAGCAGCAGAGAGAGGGAGAGAAGCAGGCUUCUUGCUGAGCAGGGAGCCCGAUGGGGGAUUUGAUCCCAAGACCCUGGGAUCAUGACCUGAGCUGAAGGCAGACGCUUAACCGACAGAGCCAGCUAGGUGUCCCAUAUCUCUUGUUUUUUUUCUAACUGCAUUAGCUAGUACCUCUAAAAAAAAAAGUUAAAUAAUGAUCAGUAUUAACCUCUAUACCAUCCUUAUGUUUUUCCUGACUAUAGUGAGGAAGUUUGUAGUAUUUACCUAUCCAGCAAAAUGCUAGAUUUAGGGUUUAGGCAAUUACAUCUUAUCACAUUAAGGAAAUAACAGUCUUAUUUUAUUAGGAAGUUUCUUUUCUUUUUUUUUUUUUAAGAUUUUAUUUAUUUAUUUGACAGAGAGAGAUCACAAGUAGAUGGAGAGGCAGGCAGAGAGAGAGAGAGAGAGAGAGAGAGAGAGAAGCGGGCCCCCUGCUGAGCAGAGAGCCCGAUGCGGGACUCGAUCCCAGGACCCUGAGAUCAUGACCUGAGCCGAAGGCAGUGGCUUAACCCACUGAGCUACCCAGGCGUCCCUCUUUUCUUUUUUUUUAAAGAUUUAUUUAUUUAUUUAUUUAUUUUAAUUUUUUUUUUUUUUGAGAUUUUAUUUAUUUGUCAGGGAUAGAGGGAGAGAGAGCGAGUGAGCACAGGCAGACAGAGAGGCAGGCAGAGGCAGAGGGAGAAGCAGGCUCCCUGCCGAGCAAGGAGCCUGAUGUGGGACUCGAUCCCAGGAUACUGGGAUCAUGACCUGAGCCGAAGGCAGCGCUUAACCAACUGAGCCACCCAGGCGUCCCUUAUUUAUUUUUUUGACAGGCAGAGAUAUCACAAGUAGGCAGAGAGGCAGGCAGAGAGAGAGAGAGAGAGAGAGAAGAGGGAGCAGGCUCCCUGCUAACCAGAGAAUUCAACGUGGGGCUCGAUCCUAGGACCCUGGGAUCAUGACCUGAACCAAAGGCAGAGGCUUUAACCCACUGAGCCACCCAGGCACCCCUGGAAGCUUAUUUUCUUAAACCGCUAAUGCCUUAAUGGCGUAUAUAUAAGUUAUUUUAUUAUUUUUUCCUUGCAUUUAUUAAUGUAAUGAAUUACUCUUUUAGAUUUUCUAAUAUUAUCUUUGCAUUUUUAAAAUAAACCUUACUAUGUCUGGUAUAUUAUAAUCUUAUUGCACUACUGAAUUCUACUUAACAAUUUUUUAAAGGAAUUUUACAGUCAGUCAUAAUUGAGAUUGGUCCGUGUGUCUUUUUUAAUGCAAUCUUGCAUUCACUAAAUUUAUUUAAGGGAUUUCCUUGCUUUAAUGCUCUGAAACAUUUUAGAUAGCAUUAGAGCUAUCUGUUUCCUCUGAAUUUUCUAUGAAACCUGUGGGCCUGAUUUUUUUUAUCAAGAGGAGGGAAAAGAGGACUACAUUUUUUGCUGUGUUAUUUCACUGUGUUAUUAUUUCUGUAGGGAAUUGUUCUAUUCAAAUUUCCUGUCUCUUGCACAGUUAGUUUUGGUAAAUUAUAUUUACCUGGCUAUAGUACACCUAAAUAAUAUCAUAAAUAAGAUAGUCCUUAUUGUUAAAAUAAGGAUUAUAAACUCUUUGCAAAUGUCCAUUCAUCUAUGCAUCCCUGUCUUCAACUUUCUUUUCAUACAUUAUAAAGUGCCCUCUGACUCUUGAUUCCUUCUGCAUGAGUCGAUUCUUUUCCUGUCUUAUUCUUUGUAUUUAUGCUUUCUCUGUUAUUAAGAUUAAUUAACAGUUUGUAUGAUAUUGUUACUAUGUUUUUAUUAAAAAUAGCUUUUGCAUAUGUGUAUUAGUUUUACUAUCAUUACAUUUUCAAAAUUAUUAAUUUUGACUUAUCUCUGUCAAUCCUUCUCUUUCCUUAAGAUUAAUUUGUAUUUAAUUUUUUAACUUUUUAAUUGAUAUAUUUUUAUUGUUUCUUUUUUGUUAACGGAAGUAUUUUACAACUAUAAAGUUACCUUUGUGUACUGCCUUACUUGUGUUUCAUUGGUUCUGAUUUAGCUUUUCAUAAUUGUUAUUUCCCAUACAGCAUCCAAAUUUCAUUUGAUUUCAUUAGUACCCAAGAGUUAAGAGAGAUCCUUAUUUUCAAAUUUCUAGAUAAUAGUAGUGGUAGAAGUUAGCAUAAUCUGGUUUUGCUAUUAAUUUUUACUCUUACUGCAUUGUGAUCAGUGUUAUCCAACUUUUUCCUUUCUGCAAUUUAUUGAGUUUUUCUUUAUGGAUUAAUACAGUCAAUUUUUAUUAAUUUCCUAUGGGCACUUGAGGAUAUAUUUUGCUUUAAUAAUAAGGAUUAUCUCAUGAUAUUAUUUAAGUGUCCUAUAAUCUUACUCGUUUUUUGUCUUCUUGAUCUGUUGUGAACUGAAGUGAUGAAUUUUCCACCACUAAUGUGUUUCCAUUUCUUAUUGCAUCACCUUCUAUUUUUGCUUUAUAAAUGUUAAUGCUAUUUUAUUUGAUAGCAUAUAUAAAUUAUUCAUUUUCUCCUAUGAACUAUACCCUGGAAUGUCAUAAAGGGCUCUAUUUUUUUCAUUUGAUAGUUUUUGGCCUGAAUCCAGCCUUUUCUAGUAUAAGAUCACCAUUUCUGUUUCUUUUUGUUUGCAUUUGCAUGAUUUACUUGGCCCCAUCCUUUUAUUUUUAUCCUUACUACUUUGUUUUAGGUAGAUCCCUUAGAGUCAGUGCUGAAUUUGCUCUAUGAUACAAUCAAAAUGUACUUUUCUUUUAAUGAGUUUAGCCCAUUUAUAUACAAUGAUUUAACAGCUAUAUUUGGUCUCAAUUUUUUAUUUUUAUUUUUUAUUUUUCAAUAAUCUCUACAACGUGGGGCUCAAAUUUACAAUCCUGAGAUUGAGAGUCACGUGCUUUACUGACUAAGCCAGCCAGGCACCCCGGUCUAGUUUUUUAAUGUUAUUUUUUAAUUGCUUUUCAUAUUUUAAAAAGUCACUAGUAGUCAGUUUCUUGUGAUUUUUUCCUUGUGUAUUUCUUCUGCUAAAUAGGAAGACUUGUAUCAUUCUAGUUAAUAUCUUUACAAUACAACUCUACAUGAUGCCCCAAUCCUUUGUUUGUAGAUAUAUCUACUAUUUUACUACCAUAAGCAUUGGUUAAAUGAAUAUUUUCUCUUCCACCCCUACUUCUUCUCUACUACACAAUUUUAUAUUGUAUUUAUCCAUUGACUUUGAGCUAUUAAAGGUAAGGAAAUCAGCACAUUUAUAUGCAAUUUACUUUUUCUUUCCACCUUGUGACUCUUGUUAGUUUUUCAUUUUUGCAUUGUCAGGCAUAUAAGAUUUAUAUUUUGUCCUAUUACCUUAAUCCACAUACUGUUUUACUCUCAGAUAAAUAUAUUCAUUGCUCCC